GGCAGUGUAGCUCAGUUUUUAGAGUGCUUGCCUAGCGUGCACAUAGCGCUGGGUUUAAACCCCAGCACCUCCU
rnacentral:tRNA from 1 species